CGCAUCCACUCCGUUUAAACCAGC
rnacentral:siRNA from 1 species